rnacentral:rRNA from 1 species
CCGCCCGUCACACCAUGAGAGCUGUCUGUACCCAAAGAGAUCUUAGCUAACCCGUAAGGGAUGCGGAUAAUCAAGGUAUGGGGAGUGAUUGGGGUG